AAUGAACGUUGGCGGCGUGGAUUAGGCAUGCAAGUCGUACGCACAGCUUCGGCUGUGAGUGGCGCAAGGUGAGUAAUGCGAAGGUAACCAACCCUGGAGUUGGGCAUAACCGCGGGAAACUGCGGGUAAUUCCCAGCGAUGUCUCGAGAUGGCAUCAUCUUGCGACCAAAAGGUGUGAUUCCGCUCUAGGACGGGCCUUCGUGGUAUUAGGUAGUUGGUGAGGUAACGGCUCACCAAGCCGACGAUGCCUACCGGGUGUGAGAGCAUGACCCGGCACACUGGAACUGAGACACUGUCCAGACACCUACGGGUGGCUGCAGUCGAGAAUCUUCGGCAAUGGGCGAAAGCCUGACCGAGCGACGCCGCGUGAGGGAAGAAGGCCUCGGUUGU
rnacentral:rRNA from 1 species